rnacentral:rRNA from 1 species
AGCAGCCGCGGUAAUUCUAGCUCCAAUAGCGUAUAUUAAAGUUGUUGCAAGUUAAAAAGCUCGUAGUUGAAUUUCGGGGUUAGUAGGUUGGUCAUGCCUCUGGUAUGUACUGGUCUCACUGAUUCCUCCUUCCUGAUGAGCCGUAAUGCCAUUAAUUUGGUGUUGCGGGGAAUUUGGACUGUUACUUUGAAAAAAUUAGAGUGUUUAAAGCAAGCUAACGCUUGAAUACAUUAGCAUGGAAUAAUGAAAUAGGACGUUCGAUCCUAUUUUGUUGGUUUCUAGGAUUGACGUAAUGAUUAAUAGGGAUAGUUGGGGGCAUUAGUAUUCAAUUGUCAGAGGUGAAAUUCUUGGAUUUAUUGAAGACUAACUACUGCGAAAGCAUUUGCCAAGGAUGUUUUCAUUAAUCAAGAACGAAAGUUAGGGGAUCGAAGACGAUCAGAUACCGUCGUAGUCUUAACCAUAAACUAUGCCGACUAGGGAUCGGAUGAUGUUAAUUUUUAAUGACUCAUUCGGCGCCUUA